AUACUUACCUGACGUAGAGGUUACCGUGAUCAAGAAAGCGGUACCUCCAGAGAGAGGCUUUCACCAUUGCACUAAGGUGUUUGCUGACUUCUGCGAACGCCCCUAAAGUGGGUGUCUCGAACGUAUAAUUUUUGAUAUCUGGGACUGCGUUCGCGCUCUCCCGGG